rnacentral:rRNA from 1 species
CAAACUGAAGAUGGCGACCGGCGCACGGGUGAGUAACACGUAUCCAACCUGCCGAUAACUCCGGAAUAGCCUUUCGAAAGAAAGAUUAAUACCGGACGGCAUACGAAUAUCGCAUGAUAUUUUUAUUAAAGAAUUUCGGUCAUCGAUGGGGAUGCGUUCCAUUAGGUUGUUGGCGGGGUAACGGCCCACCAAGCCUUCGAUGGAUAGGGGUUCUGAGAGGAAGGUCCCCCACAUUGGAACUGAGACACGGUCCAAACUCCUACGGGAGGCAGCAUG